GACGAACGCUGGCGGCGUGCCUAAUACAUGCAAGUCGAACGCAGUGGGGACGGGUGAGUAACACGUGGGUAACCUCCCAUCAGAGGGGAUAACACUUGGAAACAGGUGCUAAACCGAUACUGAUGGAUGGACCCGCGGUGCAUUAGCUAGUUGGUGAGGUAACGGCUCACCAAGGCCACGAUGCAUAGCCGACCUGAGAGGGUGAUCGGCCAGAGUGGGACGGAGACAAGGCCCAGACUCUUAGGGGAGGGAGCAGUAGGGAAUCUGCGGCAAGGGACGAAAGUCGGACCGAGCAAGGCGGGGUGAGUGAAGAAGGUAUAAGGUUCGUAAACCUCUGUUGUUAGAGAAGCGGUAUCUAACAAGAAAGCCACGGCUAACUACGUGCCAGCAGCCGGGUAAUAC
rnacentral:rRNA from 1 species